rnacentral:rRNA from 1 species
AGCUCCAAUAGCGUAUAUUAAAGUUGUUGCAGUUAAAAAGCUCGUAGUUGGAUUUGUGGACGGAGUGGCUGGCCUCACUUGUGAGUGCCGUGCCGUUUUCCGUCCAUCCUUGGGUGGAAUCUGUGUGGCAUUGAGUUGUCGUGCAGGGGAUGCCCAUCGUUUACUGUGAAAAAAUUAGAGUGUUCAAAGCAGGCUUACGCCUUGAAUAUAUUAGCAUGGAAUAAUAAGAUAGGACCUGGGUACUAUUUUGUUGGUUUGCGCACCGAGGUAAUGAUUAAUAGGGACAGUUGGGGGUAUUCGUAUUCCAUUGUCAGAGGUGAAAUUCUUGGAUUUUUGGAAGACGAACUACUGCGAAAGCAUUUACCAAGGAUGUUUUCAUUA